GAAAAGAGGAAGCAGCAGCAGUGUUUCCGGUCCUGCUGCAGCUGACUUGGCGUCAGUGGGUCUUGGUACGGGUCUACGGCUCGGUGCGGAUCACUCAGACUCUGCAGACAUGGCGGGACGCGACCGGGUCGUUCACCUACUCCGGCAGCUCGAGCGCGCGGCGUGCAGAUGCCCUGCUCACUCCAACACCUUCCAUCAAGGAGCUGGAGCUGCCACAUGCACCGUCCGCAAAACUGACUACGCCUUCGAGAUGGCGAGUUCCAACAUCAGAUAUGGAGAAGGAGUCAGCAGAGAGAUCGGCAUGGACCUUCAGAACCUUGGAGCCCGGAACGUCUGCCUGAUGACAGACAGGAACUUGUCCCACCUCCCCCCCGUGAAGGCCGUCCUGGAGUCUCUGUCCAAGAACGGAGUCAAGUACAAAGUCUACGACAACGUGCGGGUGGAGCCCACUGACACCAGUUUUAAAGAGGCCAUUUCGUUUGCUAAAAAGGACUCGUUCGACGUGUUUGUGGCAGUGGGCGGCGGCUCUGUCAUUGACACCUGUAAGGCAGCCAACCUGUACGCCUGUCACCCCGACGCUGACUUCCUGGACUUCGUCAACGCUCCGAUCGGUAAAGGGAAGCCGGUCACUGGAGCUCUGAAGCCACUCAUCGCAGUUCCUACGACUGCAGGCACCGGCAGUGAGACCACCGGCGUCGCCAUCUUUGACUACGAACCUCUGAAGGCAAAAACAGGUAUUGCCAGCAGAGCCAUCAGACCCACACUGGGCAUCGUGGACCCAACGCACACACUGAGCAUGCCCGAACGAGUCACCGCCAACAGUGGCUUUGACGUCCUCUGUCAUGCUCUGGAGUCGUACACCGCCCUCCCCUACAACCAGAGGAGCCCCUGCCCCCCCAACCCCAUCAACCGCCCCGCCUACCAGGGCAGCAACCCCAUCAGUGACGUCUGGUCCCGCCACGCCCUCAACGUGGUUGCCAAGUACAUGAAACGAGCGGUACGGGACCCUGAGGACCUGGAGGCACGGUCCAGCAUGCACCUGGCCAGUGUUUUCGCUGGGAUUGGGUUUGGAAACGCUGGAGUUCACCUGUGCCUCAUGGUCUCUCUGUCGUCCUCACGUCUCCGGCCGUCUUCAACUUCACCGCCCCAAUGUGUCCAGAGCGUCACCUGGACGCUGCAGAGAUCCUCGGUACCUGUUCACCUGUUCACACCUUCACCUGUUCACACCUUCACCUGUUCACUCCUUCACCUGUUUACCUGUUCACACAGUGUCUUACAACAUAACAAACCAGAUCAAAGUUUAUUAACCUGCAGGUGCAGAUAUCCGGCAGGUGAAGCGGGCGGAUGCCGGUGCAGUUCUGGCCGAUACUCUGCGUCAGUUCCUGUUUGAGCUGCAGGUGGAGGACGGACUCAGAGCUGUGGGAUACAACGACGACGACAUCCCAGCUCUGGUCAAAGGAACCAUCCCCCAGGAGCGGGUGACGAAGCUCUCUCCCAGAGAACACACUGAGGAGGAUCUGACUGAACUGUUCGCUGCCUCCAUGAAACUCUACUGAAGAGUCUUUCUAUCCCUGUGAGGACUAAACUCCCUGAACACUCAGAGUCAAACUGAUUCCAGGUCUGUUCUGUGUCAAGCUGCAGUUCCUCUAACAGCCACUAGAUGCAGCUGUUUCUCUACCUGUUCAGACGUCAGCUGCUUCUGAAUGAACACCUGAAUUUUACACAUGAUUUGAAAUAAAACAGAUAAAAAUC